UUCGUGAGUGGCGAGCGUUUAUCCGGAAUCACUGGGCGUAAAGCGUCCCUAGGGGGUAUUGUAAGUGCAAUGUUAAAUCUACUCGCUCAACGGGUAGGCCGCGUUGUAUACUGCAAUGCUUGAGGUAUGUAGAGGUGAGUGGAAUUCCAGAGUAGGGGUAAUAUCCGUAGAUACUGGAAGGAACACCAAUAGCGAAGGCAACUCACUGGACAUCACCUGACCCUGAAUGACGAAAGCGUGGGGAGCGAACCGGG
rnacentral:rRNA from 1 species